UGCACACAGCCUUGCAGCGCAUUCAAAUGGUACUCAAUCCAUUAUUAUUAUUUUUUUCUCCCGUUUAUUUUCUUUCAGAGACCAUGAUGGUAAGGAGCAGGAGAUACUGUAGUUCUUGAACCUGUCCUAGGUGCAAUAACCAAUCUGUAAUUGGGAGUACCCUGUUGCUGUAGCAGGUCAGAGUGGCUUUUUCCAGUAGAGAGAAACCCCUGGACAGGGACAACAGCAGAGGGACUGGUAGCCAAACGGGUGCAGCAUUUCGUACAUCAGUUUCUAUUCUGUGGAAUGGCUAAGCAGCAAAUGUCAAGCACAUACAGUUAUAUUCCACUGAAUAUCAGUGAAGGAAAAAG
rnacentral:lncRNA from 1 species